CAGAGCAAGGAAAGGGUUGAGGUGAGCAUAAGAAUGCCUAAUCACUCCACCUUGGGCUUUGAUUCUCCUCCCUCUACUCUACAUGAUAGUAUCAAGAUUUAAGCAAACAAAGAAAGAAGUGGAAGAUGUCACUGACCUGCAAGGAUGAGACUCGCCUUGGAAGCUAUUGAAGAGUCUGAAAUUGAAGACAAAAAUGAAAAUACCAGAGGAAUAUGCUCCAGGACUGAUGUGGUAAUGGAGUGAGCAUAACUUGGCUUGAAAACAACAUCAUCAUGGCAUGUAAAGUUGGCAUGGAAUCAUAUGGAUCAUGAAGAAGCUUUUAGCAAGUCAUAGCAUAUGAAAAAGACCUUGGAGACACAAAGUGAAAUGUCUUGAAGAUGAAGAUGAAGAUAGAAGUGUGCUAGGGUUGAAGAUUAAGGAAAGGUAGAAUAAGAUUUAGGUAGUUUGACUUUGAUCAACUGUUUGACCAAAAAGUCAACAAUUGACCAAAAGUCAACCUAGAUCAAAAGAUAUAAUUUUUUGUGUAAUUUUGAUUUCUUGGAUUUUGUAAUGAAAAUUGGCCUUUUGAAAUGAAUUGUGACUUGUGUCCCAAGAAAAAUGACUUUUUCCCUAUAAUAUUUGAAUUUGAAUCUUGAGUGUAUUUGAAUA